rnacentral:rRNA from 1 species
AGGGCACCACCAGGAGUGGAGCCUGCGGCUUAAUUUGACUCAACACGGGAAAACUCACCCGGCCCGGACACUGGAAGGAUUGACAGAUUGAGAGCUCUUUCUUGAUUCAGUGGGUGGUGGUGCAUGGCCGUUCUUAGUUGGUGGAGUGAUUUGUCUGGUUAAUUCCGAUAACGAACGAGACUCUAGCCUAUUAAAUAGAUCGUUGGCUCACAAACGCCGGCGAGACUUCUUAGAGGGACAGGCGGCGAUUCAGCCGCACGAAACAGAGCAAUAACAGGUCUGUGAUGCCCUUAGAUGUCCGGGGCCGCACGCGUGCUACACUGAAGUGAUCAGCGUGCAUUUUGAAACCUACUCUGUCAAGAGUGGGGAACCCAAUGAACCUUCUUCGUGAUUGGGAUAGGGGAUUGUAAUUAUUCCCCUUGAACGAGGAAUUCCCAGUAAGCGCGAAUCAUAAGUUUGCGCUGAUUACGUCCCUGCCCUUUGUACACACCGCCCGUCGCUACCACCGAUUGAAUGUUU